UCCUCCGUGGCGCAAUUGGCUAGCGCGUCUGACUGUUAAGCAUUCCAUUCGAAAGCCUGAUAUCAGGAGGUUCGUGGUUCGAGCCCACGCGGGGGAG